CAGUAGCCACGGUAAUACGAAGGGUGCAAGCGUUAAUCGGAAUUACUGGGCGUAAAGCGCGCGUAGGUGGUUUGGUAAGAUGGAUGUGAAAUCCCCGGGCUCAACCUGGGAACUGCAUCCAUAACUGCCUGACUAGAGUACGGUAGAGGGUGGUGGAAUUUCCUGUGUAGCGGUGAAAUGCGUAGAUAUAGGAAGGAACACCAGUGGCGAAGGCGACCACCUGGACUGAUACUGACACUGAGGUGCGAAAGCGUGGGGAGCAAACAGGAUUAGAUAACCGAGUAGUCCCUGUCUCUUAUAC
rnacentral:rRNA from 1 species